GGCGGUUUUUGCUGGAGAUGCCCUAACUCGUUGUGCUGGUGGGCAUUGACUCAGGAAAUCGGAAAACAGAGGAGAAGCAGCAGCUGGCCGCCGAACUCAGGAACCCUAGCCGCCGGACCUCACCGCCGCUGCUGGCCCUCCCCGUCUCCCGCACCCCGACAGCCUCCAUUGUCAAAUCAGCACUGCGUUGACCUCCUUCGCGCCGCGUUUGCUUCCUCCCUCGCAAGCAUUGCGGGUCCGGUUCGCCAGAAGCCUCGGCCAAUCACCGCCGACGCCUUUCCAGUGGGAUCGAAAGCGAGUGCUCUAGAAGUUUCAUCUCUUCGCCGGCUUAGCUAUGGAUCGCCGUAAUAUACUCCCUUGGAAAAAAAAGAUAAUCGCAUCAGUCACCAUAUUGGUGUGAAACGAACGUGGCUGGAGAUAAGGCAAAGGCAAGUAGCAGUACUAUUGUUUAUUCUCCAGAUGGCACCCACACCAGCAAAAUUUGGCAUCGAAUACGUUGUGGGAAAAAUACUCAUAUGGCAUCAGUGCCAAACUGCACAAUGUCAGCCGAAUUUGGCUUGGCACACUGUGGAGGUUCUAAGGCAAUGUCAUCUAGUACAAUACUGUAAUAACGGCUCUUUACUUCUGUAUUGAUGACUACAUGUGGUCAAACUGAGAUGGAAGUAUGAUGACGCAGCUUGUAAACUGGUAGAUCAAGAUAUGUUUUGUAACAUUAUUUACAAAACACAAAAUUACUUCGCGAAAUGAACUGAUGGCACCGAACCACAGAUACGCUCAA